GAACAAGUGAGUGUGAUUGUGUGAACAGAUUCAACAAUGGACACAGCAGGGAACACUAUAUAAUAUACUUAGGGCAAACCAUUAACAUAUAACGUUGCAAAUAUACUAUACUUUAUGCCAUUACAAUACUUAUAAUAGCCCUGAGCAAAUUCAAAAUUGGUUUAGAUCAAUGGUCAUACCAUGGUUGGCUGUGCAGCGUUUGGAUGCUCCAAUCGGUCCGAGAAGGGUUACCACAUGUAUGGCUUCCCCAAGGACCAAGAGCGCAGGAAGAAAUGGAUGGCAAUGGUCAGCCGUCAAAACGUACAAGUGACAGGGGUCAGCAACCGUCAAAAACUAUGUAAUGUACACUUUGAAGAUGACCAAUUCACUGCCACAAAAAGAGAAGGGAUGUUGAAGCUGAGGCCCGAUGCAGUACCAACAGUUUUCAUUCAUCGCCCUAAGCCGAAGAGGAGGAAACCCCCUUCUGUGAGGGUGCCUCCAGAACCAAGUGCAACGGACCACACAUAUUUCACCAAAUUAAACUUCGCUAUGAUCCAUGCAGCUAACAAUAUUCCCCAUUUCAUGUAAUUCAAGGAUAGACUACACUCCUAAUGAGAUUACAUAAUUCAUGGCCAGCUGAUUCAGGGCCAGCUGCCCCAGGGCCAGCUGCUCCAGGGACCAGACUGCCAGGGACUGAUGGGGCGACUGUGGAGGACCUAAUAAG